GGGGAUGUAGCUCAUUUGGCAGAGCGCGCCAUUUGCAAUCACAAAGAUAAAUUGUCGAGAUAUAGGUUUCAAUUCCCUGCAUCUCCA
rfam:Cryptococcus bestiolae CBS 10118 unplaced genomic scaffold supercont1.2, whole genome shotgun sequence.